CGUUACCUGAUAUUCUGUGGUUUACCUUUUGUUUGAAAUGACCUUAAAAUUACACUUCCUGUUUGGUUUAAGUUAACUUUAUAACAAUAAUCGGUUAUGCGUUAUAUUGAUAUUAUGGACAGAAACGACAACAGCAUUUAAGUUCAGUAUCGCUGUUGUUAGACAUCUGUCAUAUAGACCGGAGAGUAUGGCUGCGGGAAACAACGGCGAAAAAAAGGCAAAGGAUGAGUUUAUAUCCAUAGAAGUCUUAGAAGCCGAGUUUAAUAGUUUUGCCGUAAAGAUAAAAAAUGAAUUGCAGAAAGCACAUACUAG